AUUACUGAAAGAAGAAAUGUGGGGAAGAAGGCACCAUGGAAUGUCCAAGAAAGCAAACAGACUGGAUUUCUACCUAUAGUGAGAAUCCAAGGAGCCCAUGGAGUUCCUGUAGAAAGACCCCCCAGGAUGAGAAAGAAUCUCUGAUACAAAGUGGAACACAUUUGCCAUAUGGAUUAUCUCUGUCGGAGGCAUGAUAUUUAGGUAUCGUUUAAGAGGUAGUUUCACUGGGAACACAGCAUUAUAAAUCCUGAUUGGCAUCAGCUUUGCUGCAAAGGGAACCUGGCUUAGUGUGCAGCAGAGAUGACCACAG
rnacentral:lncRNA from 1 species